CAAGAGGCCCUGCUGCUUUCCCCUCCCACUCCUUCAGUGCGACAGCCUCAGAGCUGAUGGAAAGACAGAGAGCACGCAAAGCAACUGGGAAAAAAUUCAGACAUGGAGUUCGUGGACCAAAUGGUCACCAAUUGCUUCAGCAUUACGUAUUGAGUAAUACAGCCUUCUUCCACCGAUGUGAAGUGUCAACAGCUGAUCUCCCAUUAGAUAGGGUGUAGCUUUCCACAGGUAUUUCGAGAUUAAAAGCUGUGUGGAUUCAGUUCCUGGACUUUUCUAGAGGUAAAUGUAAGAAAUGUAUGAGAUGAAGAAAUGUUCUCAAUUAUCUUGCUGGCAGUAAUGCGACCUCAGAGUUUACAGGAUGGAGUGGAAGGAUCAAGACAUGAAGCAUGACGGCUUUCAGUAGGAGGACCUGGGGAAAUUGAGGCAGCCCAAAGUGCAAGGUGGAGGAAGGCUUCGUGGACGGUGUGCAUUUGCCACCUAGUGACCACAUUGAAUGUUGAUAUUUGUGAUUCUCACCUCAAACUGGUAGCCUGACCUUGGCUCCUGAGUUCUGCGGUCCCUUCACAACUGCAAGUCAUUCUGAUACAACAUUUUGGUUGACAUUGUCUGCUGUUCUUUGGGAUCUUUAGAACAAUACCCAAGUUCAAAUUAUCACUGCUGAGUUGCCUGAUUGUGCACGUGCAAAAAAAUUUCACCAUUUGUGUUACUUGCUUCAGCUCUCUGUGCUUCGGCCUGUUCUGUCUGCAGUCAUUGCGCAUGCACCUGUGUUAUCAUAUAAAAAACGGCUUAGCCCUUU